rnacentral:lncRNA from 1 species
UGAAAAACGUGAUUCAUGGUGAACAGUGAAAAAUGAGGUGUUCUUUACACCCUGGGCAUCUGAUCUGCCACUACUUGUUUGUGCCGGGGGAGAAGCAACCUUGUCUACGCAUCAGACAUGCAGCACAGGGAGGAACAAUGGCAUCUCCAGGUUGCAUCUGGAGGAGUGAUGGCAGAAGAAACAUACCAUGAAAACAAGCUUGACCAGAAGACAUCAAGCCUUAGGCUGCCAAGAAGUCAGAACAGGAAGCAGCUGGUCAAAGAACUGCGUUGCUACCAUGACCCAACCGCGGAGGCCGCGACAGCAAGUCUACAGCUCCCAGUAUGGGGUAUUCACACACUUUCAGUGUUAUCUUUUUUGCUUGUGUUUUUGGAAAAGUUGGCUGGUGGUCAAUAUUCCACCUUUCUGCCCCCCCCCCCCCCCCCCCCCCAAUAGCCCCAUAGUGUAAACAGGCAGAGACACUGCUUGUUUCAGUCUGAUGCCCUGAGAAUCAUUUUCCCAAACUUCAGCACUGCCUUCCUCUUUGUAUAACUCAAAUUAAAUGAGGUGUAAAAACUUCCUACCACAUUCAUAUUCUUGGGACUGUCAAUCAGGCGCCCGCUGGUGCGCCGGCCCCUCACUUUAUUAACCCGGCCAGCGGCCGAGCCGGACGGGGUCCGCGGGGACAAUGGCGGCUGCGUGUCUGGGUUCCACGUUUUGUCAGCAAGGACAGAGGGGUCCUGGGCGUCCCGUCGUCCGCAUGAAAGGAGGCUUCACAUGUCUGAUCCGUCAAGCAGCAAACUCCAGAGAUCCCCAACCCCAUCCCACACCCAGCGGUCCCGGGAAACCGCCGCUGCGGACCCCUUCGAUUGAGACGUCUCCCUGCCCCUUCGGAGGGGGGUGUGUCUGCGCAAGGCACACGGAGCUGUAGUGAAGAGAUGGCCCCCUGCUCUGGGGCGUCGCCAGGCCCGGGUGGGGGUGGGCACGAUGCUGAGUCUGAACUCGGCGUGCCACUGGCAUCGGUCAGGAGGGGGAGCACCGGGGGGACAUCGUGCCUUUCUGUGCCAGGGUUGCCCGGCUACGAGCUGAAAAGGAGGCAUGUUGUUUUUUGUUGUGAGAUGUCUCCGAAACCGCAUCCAAAAAUGUUGAGCUUUUAUCGCCUCUGAAGGGCUUGUUUGACUUUACACACUGUGGUGUUAAUGGCAGCGCCCUUUGAUGGGGGGACAAGACAGACGUGUAAGAUACUCAAAGUGUACUGCAUGCGUUUCUCGGGAGCCCUGGCAGCAGAGUCAUGCUGAAGGACCCCGCUCGGAAUCACAGGGUUCAAGGUUCGAAUCCAAAGACACGCACAUUCAGAGGCUGACCUGGUCAUCUAGUAGAGUCAGGCUCUGCUCCCAUGGAGGCUAACGAGACCUUCAGACAGGGGUGCGCCUUUUAGCCAGCAGUAAAAAAUAUU